ensembl:lncRNA
AUGGAGGAAUUACCAUCGCCCAUAUCUUCAUAUCAAAUCCGACCUCCUGAUCCAUUUGAUUUUACAAAGCCAAAUGACUUUGACAGAUGGCUCAGACGAUUUGAAAGAUUCAGAGUUGCAAGUAAUCUUGCACAAGCAUCAGAUUUGCACCAAGUUAACACACGGAUUUAUUGUAUGGGAGACAAAGCUGAUGACAUUUUGUGCGGAUUGGCCAUGACAACAGAAGAGCGUGGAAAGUAUGAAACUGUGCAGAAUAAAUUCAAAGAAUAUUUCACUGGCAAAAUAAAUGUGAUCUAUGAGAGAGCAAAGUUUAACUCCAGGAAACAAGAGCCAGAUGAACCAGUUAAUGACUUUAUCACUGCACUGUAUUCAUUGUCAGAACGCUGUGCUUUUAGAACUCUGAGAGACGAACUUAUUAGAGAUCGAAUUGUUGUCGGGUUGAAAGAUGUCAAACUGUCAGAGCGCCUUCAACUACAUGCAAACCUAACUUUGGAGAAUGCUAUAACUAUGGCCAGGCAGAGUGAAAUGGUGAGAAAACAGCAGGCAGAACUUAGGCAGGAAGAGGACGAAGAAGACCUAAAGCUUGAGGUUGUACACAAAGAAAAAUACAGACAGGAUUCAUCGAAAAGGUCAAACAAGCCAGGAAAAGGCAGAAAUUGGACAAGUUACCAAAAAAAUGGUAAAGAGAAAUCAAAGAAAUCAUGCUGCAUGAGAUGUGGAAAAUCAACAUACCAUGUAAAGGAUCUCUGCCCAGCCAAAGAGGCUGUCUGUCAUCAGUGCAAUAGGACAGGCCAUUACAUGAGCCAAUGUCAUUCAAAGACAGUGCAUCAUGAGGUUAAAGAGGACUGUGUGUCAGAUGAAGGGCAAGCAUUCCUCGGAGCUGUUGAUUCAAAUACUCAAGGAUGGUGCACAACCGUUCUGAUCUUGGAACAGCCAGUGAAAAUGAAAAUGGAUACUGGGGCAGAUGUCACGGCGAUACCUGAAUCAGUCUUCUCACAGCUUACCUCAAAUAGCAACACUGGUCUGAAGAAAACACGAAAAACACUGAUGGGACCAGGAAAGCAUGUCCUAGAUGUGAAAGGGGUAUUUUCAACCAGCAUCUCUAGAAAUGAGAAAAAAAUAGAAGAAAUCUAUGUGGUCAAAAAUCUCUUCACACCACUCCUGGGCAGACAUGCCAUUGAAAAACUUAGCCUCAUUGCAAAACUGGAUAAUGUCACGGAAUGUCAGUGGCUAGAGAAAUUUCCAGAACUUUUUACAGGUUUAGGUGAACUGAAAGAAGAGUACUGUAUCAAGUUACAGCCCAAUGCAACACCCUACUCUGUUAAUGUAGCAAGACGGAUCCCAGUACCAUUGAUGGAAAAAGUUAAAGAGGAGUUAUCCAGGAUGGAGAAGCUUGAUAUCAUCAAGAAGGUAGAGGGACCUAGUGACUGGUGUUCGGGUAUGGUUCCAGUACUUAAGCCUGAUAACACGGUGAGAAUUUGUGUUGACCUGACCAAACUGAACAGUGCUGUCAGACGAGAGAAGUUUAUUUUGCCGUCAGUAGACCACACACUAGGCCAGUUGGGCAGAGCUAAAAUUUUCACAAAGAUAGAUGCCAAUUCUGGAUUUUGGCAGAUCCGUUUAGCUGAAGAGUCUCAACCGUUGACCACCUUCAUUACGCCAUAUGGGCGGUAUUCCUUUAAGAGGCUUCGGUUUGGUAUCUCCAGUGCUCCAGAGCUGUUCCAGAUGAGAAUGUGUCAGAUUUUGGAAGGGCUAGAGCGAGUAACAUGUCACAUGGAUGACAUCCUUAUAUAUGGAAGUUCUCCUGAGGAACAUGAUAUGAGACUGGAUGCAGCAUUAAAGAAGCUCCAGAGUGCUGGCCUAACGCUUAAAAGAAAGAAGUGUGAAUUUGCAAAGAGAGAAGUCAAGUUCUUAGGCCACAAGCUGACCUCAGAUGGAUUACAGCCCGAUCCAGACAAACUGGCCGCAGUUCAAAAUAUGCGUGAACCUACCAAUGUGUCUGAGGUACGCAGCUUCCUUUGA